rnacentral:lncRNA from 1 species
AACAGGGAAAUGAGGAGACACACAGGCCUGGGGGAACCUGGGAUGCUCUGGGCCAACCGCCAGGGAAAUGAAAGAAUGAACCUGAGUCUGGAUGGAGGAAGUGAAAACUUUGACACUUACUAUGAGAAGUUCUCCAGGAUUUCUUCAGAAAGUAACCUGAUAAUUUCUAAUCUGGACAUACUGGGGUUGCAGUUUCUCAGAAAAGAGGACGUGGUCACUGUCAACCACAUCAAUGAAUUGUAGCAGUCAUGGGAUUCUUCUUGUCUACUGCCAAUGGAGAAGUUCUGGCCACAGACAAGAUCUUCUGUGCUCCUUUAAAAC